UCGUUUACACCAGCUACGUGCUCAACCAUCCAAUCACCUUGAGUAAUAGGUCCUAAGCACACACCAUCAGCAUCGUACAAAUACAAAUGCCUGAAUCCAGUUCUUUCGCUUGCCCAAAUGAAUCCUCCAGAUGAUCGAUCAGAGAAGAUCCAUCCAACAAACUGGUCCACCAAUGGCAGGAACAACUCCCAAGCGGACUUUCACGUUUGGACCGCCAGCAAAAGGGUAUGCAUGGUCUUCCUGUGCAUCUGAACCCACUGAACUUUUACCCUGGUGCAUGAUCCUAAAAAGAGGUACCUCUGAUGAAUCAACCUUGGUAAAUGCAAUAUAUUUGCUAUCUAAUGACCACCAGUAACCAUUCUUCCGGUCCAUUUCCUCCUACAGCAAGAAAAGAUAUAUCUCGGUUAGCAAACACAUUUAUGAGUUUUUCCUUUGUCAUAUUGGGAAUGGGAGACAUGCUAUGCAAACCAGGCAAUAGUGGCCCUCAACAUGUUUCAACAGUAACGCACCUGUGCAAUGAACUCAGCAAUGCCAUGUGUCUGAAAUAGCAACACAAAAACUUGCGUUAGCAGUUAACAAAUGACAUAAGUAUCAACAUUUGAACUGAAAAAAUGGGGAAAAUGAUAAUGGGUAUGCAUUUAUGGGGAUAAGGGUGAAAGCAAAGCAUUUCCUUCCUCUGAAGUUCCUAAGUCUAUCAUUGUUCUUUGUGAAGCACCAAAAGGACAAUAUUUUUACUUUGGUAGCACUCAUUUUGAACUCCUAGUGAGGAAUGAUGAAACUUGUUAAAAAGAGAUCUUUUAACUCAAA